AUUGAACGCUGGCGGCAUGCCUUACACAUGCAAGUCGAACGGCAGCACGGGAGCUUGCUCCUGGUGGCGAGUGGCGAACGGGUGAGUAAUACAUCGGAACGUACCCAGUAGUGGGGGAUAACGCACCGAAAGGUGCGCUAAUACCGCAUACGACCUACGGGUGAAAGCGGGGGACCGUAAGGCCGCGCGCUAUUGGAGCGGCCGAUGUCUGAUUAGCUAGUUGGCGGGGUAAAAGCCCACCAAGGCGACGAUCAGUAGCUGGUCUGAGAGGACGAUCAGCCACACUGGGACUGAGACACGGUCCAGACUCCUACGGGAGGCAGCAGUGGGGAAUUUUGGACAAUGGGGGCAACCCUGAUCCAGCAAUGCCGCGUGUGCGAAGAAGGCCUUCGGGUUGUAAAGCACUUUUGUCAGGGAAGAAAUCUUUCAGGCUAAUACCCUUGGAAGGAUGACGGUACCUGAAGAAUAAGCACCGGCUAACUACGUGCCAGCAGCCGCCGUAA
rnacentral:rRNA from 1 species